GACGAACGCUGGCGGCGUGCUUAACACAUGCAAGUCGAACGGAAAGGCCCUGCUUUUGUGGGGUGCUCGAGUGGCGAACGGGUGAGUAACACGUGAGUAACCUGCCCUUGACUUUGGGAUAACUUCAGGAAACUGGGGCUAAUACCGGAUAGGAGCUCCUGCUGCAUGGUGGGGGUUGGAAAGUUUCGGCGGUUGGGGAUGGACUCGCGGCUUAUCAGCUUGUUGGUGGGGUAGUGGCUUACCAAGGCUUUGACGGGUAGCCGGCCUGAGAGGGUGACCGGCCACAUUGGUACUACGGUACGGCGCAGACUGCAACGGGAGGCAGCAGUGGGGAAUAUUGCACAAUGGGCGGAAGCCUGAUGCAGCAACGCCGCGUGCGGGAUGACGGCCUUCGGGUUGUAAACCGCUUUCGCCUGUGACGAAGCGUGAGUGACGGUAAUGGGUGAAGAAGCACCGGCUAACUACGUG
rnacentral:rRNA from 1 species